rnacentral:pre_miRNA from 1 species
UUUCUACUCCCUCUGUCCGAAAAUACUUGUCAUCAAAAUGGAUAAAAAUAGAUGUAUCUAAAACUAAAAUAUGUCUAGAUACAUUUCCUUUUAUCCAUUUUGAUGACAAGUAUUUCUGGACGGAGGGAGUAUUUG